UACGUAGGGGGCAAGCGUUGUCCGGAUUUAUUGGGCGUAAAGCGCGUGUAGGCGGCUUGGUAGGUCAGCUGUGAAAACUCGAGGCUCAACCUCGAGCUGUCGGUUGAAACCACCUUGCUAGAGUCCGGAAGAGGAGAGUGGAAUUCCUGGUGUAGCGGUGAAAUGCACAGAUAUCAGGAGGAACACCGAUGGCGAAGGCAGCUCGCUGGGACGGUACUGACGCUAAGGCGCGGAAAGCGUGGGGAGCGAACAGG
rnacentral:rRNA from 1 species